rnacentral:rRNA from 1 species
AUGGUGUUGCUUGACAUUAGGGGUAUGUUGCAGUCUAUGGGUAAAGACAUUAUUGAUUUCGCUCUUCCAACGAUCGAUGAUGCGUUUGACCCAACCGAGGGCGAGGCCAGAGAGAUCAUCGAGGAAUCAACUGUUGAGUUUGAUGAAAGUGACACUAAAUUGUCAUCUUCCCUGAAUUUUGAGCAAAGGGCUGCAUACGACGAAAUACUAGCGACUGUUGAACGCAGUGAUGGGGGUAUAUUCUUUGUUGAUGGCCCUAGAGGUACGGGGAAGACUUUCCUCUACAGGGCGAUGCUCGCCAAGGUGAGGCGCGAGGGCAAGAUUGCAAUCUCUACCGCGACGUCGGGCGUCGCUGCUUCUAUCAUGCCUGGCGGCAGGACUGCCCACUCAAGGUUCAAAAUCCCACUGAGUUGCGAUGAUGGAGCGUCGUGCAGCUUCACCAAGCAGAGUGGGACCGCCAAGCUGCUAAGGAUGGCCUCCUUGAUACUAUGGGAUGAGGCCAGCAUGACUAAGCGACAAGCGGUUGAUGCAUUAGACAAUAGCAUGCGCGACAUCAUGGGAAUACGCGACCGACCCUUUGGAGGAAAGACUGUUGUUUUUGGCGGGGACUUUAGGCAGGUGCUUCCGGUUGUCAGAAGGGGGUCACGCGGCUAG